UAGGAAAGAAGAAUCAGAAUUUCUUCAUUUUUUUGGAUGCUUCUAUUGAUUAGUCGGAGGUCUUCAACAGGGUUGUUUCUUUUUUCUGCAUUUUGCUAACCAAAGAUGAGCUUGUAAUCACCAUGCAUGGAUGCACUGUUGCUAUAUGUGAUAAAGUGAAGCAGUCAGUAGAAGGUGCAAUUCAGGCUGUCAUUGAGUUCAUUACAAGAAGAGGCAAUGAGUUGAAUGAAACUAAUGUUUCAAGGUUCUGGCUGAGCAUUGGCACAUUAUGUAUUUUAGUUUGCAAAGACUUGAGGGGAGUGCUAAUGGACAAUGGUGGUUAGAUGCUAUCAGGAAGGCCCUCAAAUAAGGAACGACAUUUGAAUGUGUAGGAUCUAGGCAGUUGGCUAGUUUGCUUAUAUCCGCAGGG